UUAAAAGAAUUUCUCAGACAAAGAGCAUCGUUUUCACGUGAACUCGCCCCAGCGAGGUUGGUAGUUCGGAACAAAAAUUAUUACUGUUUGAAACGAAUGCGGUCGUCGUAGCGCACACCACAAAAGCAAGCAAAGUCGUUUUCCUUCCGUACACUGUCCCAAACAAGCGUAUUCCUUUCCUUCGAUUGUUAAUCGAUUUGUUAAAGCCGCCCGCCCGACGCCUUUUUCUCAGCCUCCGUCCCACCGUACCAAAUGACCGAUGCACGGUAAUUAAAUACGGUGGCUGCCGCCGCACGCGCCAUGUUGCAAAUGAACUGAACUUUCGCUGCGAAAAUCAAAGCAUAUCAGAAACAGGCGACAACGACGUAGAACGGCGACGUCAGCAAAAGAAAUUAUAUAUAUCGGAACACACCAGCCAACGCCCCAUCAUCCGGUCAACCCAAAAAGCGAUAGAGGGAGAGAGAGGGAGGACAGUUCCCUCUAUCUCAUGAAGAGUUGCAAUUUGGCUCGGUCAAGAACAAGUGUGCAGCAUCAUCCCCACCGAGGCCACAACGGGAAGCGCGUUUGAGCGAAAAACUGAACUGAAAAUACGAUUUAACAAAAAAAGCGAAAGCAAAACAGUGAAACAUGAGCGAUCCGGAAGAUCUGGAGGACGGCGAGAUCGAGGAUGACGAGGAGGACGAGGUGGUGGCGGUACGGCGGCCGGAUGAUCCACCGCUGAUGCCGCCCAAACCGGUCGACUACAUGGAGUACGAGGCGGGCGACCAGCACCAUCCCUCCGUAGGUAGCGAUGGUGAAGGGAAAGCGAAUUCAAAGCCGUCGCAGCAGCAGCAGCAAUCACCGCAGCAACGCUCCUCCAAAAAGCCCGCUCCGGUCGUAGACGACUGGACGAUGAAGGUGGAGCAAUCGAUCGCGAACGCACUGAUACGGGACGGCGUGCAGCCCCCGAUGCCCUCGUCCGUGCCGCACGGGCACGAAAAAGACGAUUCCGUCGGCCACACACCGUCCAGCAGGAAGUCGCGCAAGCGCAAGCGGGCGAACCGAAGCGAACAGCAGCACCACCAGCAGCAGCAGCUGCAGGGAGGAAAGCAGGCCCGGUUCGAUCCGGACGGGGACGAGGACGAUGUCGAUCUGGAGAACGAAAUGCUCAACGUGCGGGGCAGUAGCCCACAGCAAGCCAUAAUGGGAAGGGGUGGUGGAGGUGGUGGAGGGGCCGCCGAUUCGGGACGGUCCGAUUCGGAGGCGGACGAUACUCACUACUCGUCGGACGAGUCGGCGGGUGGGCGCGAUCGGGACGGCGGCCAUUACCGUCGCCCCCGGGGGGACCAGCACCAGCAGCAGAGGGAGCGUGAUCGGGAGCGCGAACGGGAACGGGAGCGUGAGCGGGAGUACAACCGGAAGAAGCGGAAACAGGCGCGCCAGGGCAGGGGCAACAACAAUGGCAAAUCGAACCGGGACGGCCGGAAGCGCAAGCGGGACGAUUCGGAUGACGAAAAGCAUCGCCCGACGGGACCGCGCAAGAUGGAGCUGUGCAAGUUCUACCUGAUGGACUGUUGCGCGAAGCGGGAAAAGUGUCUGUACAUGCACAAGGACUUCCCGUGCAAGUACUACUACCUGGGCAUGAAGUGCAAGGAGAAGGACAAGUGUCUAUUUAGCCACGGCGAACCGCUGGCGGACGAUCUGCGCGCGAUCCUGCUGAAGCAUCUCGAGACGGCGCCGCAGGAAAUCCUGGGCAGCUUCCAGCGCAUCAGCCGGGACAGCGCGAUCGGCAUGCUGAACGCGACGCACCGGAAGCUACAGGAGCGGUACGGUGGUGGUGGUGGAAAGCACCACGAUUCGAAAAUCCCUUCCCUGUUGGAUGUGGUCCCGGGAGGAGGAGGCGGCGGUGGCGGUGGUGGACACAUGCACAGCCCCAAGCACGGCUCUUCCCGCCGGUCGUCCCGCUGGGAGGAGGGCGGCCGCUCGAGCGACGGAGAACCGCCGCACGAUGGUGGUGACUGUGGGGGCGAUAUGACGAUGCAGCUCGCCGGCGUCAUUACGGCGGCCCAGAUCAACGACCUCGAGCAGAUGGGCAUACGGACGCUGGACGAAAUUAGCCAGCUGACGGUGGCGCAGCUGAACGAGCUUGGGCUGAGCAUUACGCAGAUUCACGAUCUGCAGGUGCGCGCACUCAAUGCGCACCGGCAGGCGGUCGCCAACGAACGGAGACGACCGCGGGAACCGCCGGCACCGGCACCGGCCCCAGCACCAGCACCAGCACCAGCGCCAGCAGCCCCUCCGCCAGCUCCGGCAGAAAAGCCAAAGGAUCUCGACCUGCGCACACUGCCGGGCGUGGCAGAGUCGCUCCUCGGUAGCCAUAGCAACGAACAGAGCAGCAAGGACGUUGACAUGCGUGUGCUUCCAAUGGGUGGUGAGCAGCAGCAGCAGCAGCAGCAGCCGGUGGCGCCCCCACCCAACAACGAGACCGCCGCAAGCCUCGUCCUGCCCGGUCUGGUGCUUCCGAAGCCGCCCACCGUCGACUACUCGCAGUACAUCAAAGACUCGAAUCUGGACGAGGAGGACCUGGAUGCGGUCGCCACGGCGAGCAGCCUGCUGAACGACCCGCCCGAGGACGACGAUGACGAUGACGAUGAUGAGAAUCAUCUCAAGAUCAACAUCGCGGAAGAGGAAGAAGAGGAGCAGGAGGAGGAGGACAAGAAGAAGCAGUCUGAUGAGCAUGAGGAGAAGCAAUCCGACGAGGUUGGUGGGGCUGGAAAGGAGGAAGAACUUCUGCUUCCACCGCUGAUACCGCCCAAGAUUGACUACGCCCAGGGGCUCGGGGACAUACUGAAGUUUGGCAGCACCGCGGUGGACAAGAGUUUGGCCCAGCUGUCAAGCGGUGAGUCGCCCCGUUCGCAUCGAUCGCCGUCACCGGUCGCAAAGGAGGACGCACUGACCGACAUUUGGACACCCUCGAUGGCGGACUCGACCCACAGCAGCAGUGCUGGUGGUGUUGCCCAAAGCUUUGGAGCUUCCUCGCAACAAUCGACGACGACGAAAGCGUCCGCCAGGUCAGCCACCGCGACCAAGCGACUCGGCGGUACCUCGAUCUACGAUUGGUGCGACUCGGAUGCCGGCGCCUCAUCACCGUCGGACGGGGGUGGACGAAAUUCACCCGUGACGUCAUUGUCGUCGUCGUCGUCGGCCGCACCGUUCCGAUACGGUUCACUUCCGUUGGAUAUUGACGAUCCCUACUCGGCGACGACUGCCGGGCGGGAAGCAACGAGCGAGCUGGGCUUCCCGUUCAAAUCGAUGAUGGCCAACUACGUGCCGGCCACGGAGAUCGAUGGGUCGAUCGGUUCGCAUGCACCGAUUCACUACAAGGUCUACGUGGUCGAUGUGCCGAAGCCAAACUAUGGCGCACUAAGACGUUCGAUGGUGCGCCCGGUCGGCACGAAGGACCCCCGGCUAAGGCGUCUGUUCGGGCUGGCAAGCGACGAUGAUGAGGAUCGGGCGAGCGACACCAGCGAUGGCAUUAAAUCGCCCGAUCCCACCCCGCACGCUUCGCCACUGUACGGCAGCUCGCCGUCGGUGCACGCUACCGCUGCACCAUCGCAACCGGCCAGUAAACCCGCACCACCCCCCGUAGUUAGCGGUGGGCGACGGGUAGAUCCACGCAAACGGCACGCCGAAAUGCAGCAGGAAUCGGCCGCCAAGAGUGUAGCGGCGGCUGCGGGCAGCGGCAACAACCAUAACCACCCGACGCCCCAGAUCGACGUGCAGACAAUACUGCAAAAGUCGCCCUGGUACAAGGACCUCGGCUCGAAGCACAAGAUCAUGGUGAACCAGCAGCUGGCCAUCCUGUCGUCCGAGAUGCGCAAGUACCACAACUCCGACCGGACGCCCGAGCAGCUGAGCGAGUUUAUGCAGUUUCUCGGCGGCAACGGGAUGCUGCAGCAGAUCCUCACCUACCUGAACGUGUUCGUGGACGAUUCGGUCAAGUUCUGCGAGGUGCCGGUCGUACCGAACAUGCCGCCGCCGGCCCUCCCGCCGCCCAACAUUCCACCGCCGAUGCUGCCGAUACCGGUGCACGUGCCACCGCCGCUCGGCGUUGUACUGCCACCGACUGGUGGUGGCGGCGGCAAUGGUGGUGGUGGUCUGCCCCACCAACAGCCUAACGGGCCUGGGAUGUUCCACGGCCCGAAUGGUCCCUUCGACCAGGAGCAGCAGCAUCGUGGUGGUGGCGGCGGUGGAUUGCCUCCCUCGAUCCGGCCGGGGCUGUUGGGCGUUUCGCCCAACAUGCCGUUCGAGCAGUUCCUUGCGAUGGGCAAUGUGAACAGACACGGUGAUGGUGACGGUGGAGGAGGUGGUGGCGGAGGAGGAGGAGGAAACAAUGGCCCACUGCCACUGUGGGUGCAGGGCAAUGGGGGUGGUGGCGGCGGCGGCGGAGGCAACAAUAUGCGCAACAUGCGCAACAACAACCGCAUCGGGCACAACUUCCGCAACAACAAUGAUCGGUGGAAUAAUGGUGGCGGUGGGCCACAGAUGAUGGGUGGUGGUGGUGGCAACAAUGGGAAUGGUGGCGGUCCGGGUAACAACAAUCGGCGAAACAAUGGCAACAACAAUCGGCGCAUGGAUCGGAAAAAGUAAAUCCACACCCAGAAACACACGCCUUCCAAAGAGAGCGAAAGACGAACGAAGAAGCAAUAGAGGAAGAGGAAGAAAAAGACAGAAAAUGAGAGAGAAAGGAUUCUCUUUUUUUUAGUAAAGCUUUAUUGCCCAGUGCCCGCGCUCCUGUGCAAAACCGCCCUGUGGUGGAGACGGAGGAACAAGCGCAUUGUUGCCGAUUGGUUGCUAAACCCUGAUCACCCCUCCCCCCAACUCCCCCAAGAAGACUUACUCAGCUGAAUACACACAGAAGGGGCGACACACGCGCAUCGAUGGAUGAACACGAGAUUUGUAUGAAACGUAGAAGAGAGACAGACAGAGAGAAAAAGAGAAAGUAAUAUAGGAUUGUUAUAAUAAGCCAAACACUGUUUCAUCACACACACACAGUUCGUCUCUGCCGCAGUGUGUGUAGAGAGAGAGAGAGAGAGAAGAGUGUUGGUUUUCCUCCUUUAUACUUAAAAUGGAAAAUAAAUUAUCAAACUUUUCGUUGUACACACACACGCGGGGGUACGCACGUUGUUGCAAAACAUCUCUCACCCUCUAAAAAACCAGAUCGUGGUGUGUUUUGGAGGGACACAGAGAGAGAGAGAGAGCUCGACAAGCGGUUAGAAUCAUUUUACUCUACCAUUAAACAAUUAUGCUUGUUUCUGUUUGACGGCCGAGCUAGAGAGAGAGAGAGAGAGAGAGAAAGAGAGAGAGAGAGAGAGAGACUGUUUUGUGCAGGAAUCUUCUUUACAUUCCCACAUUCGAAAAUCUCAUUCGUUUUUUGUUUUAAUCCCCCACACACCAGAAAGGGACCACACUUAACGGACAAGCAAAAUCGUAAUCGUGCGUAAUCAGAGAAACGUUUUUUAAAUUAAAAAAAAAACCGUGCCAAAUCAGCCCGUUGUCCCACACCCGGAAAAGGGGUUUAAAAGAUCAUCUUCGUUCGGAAGCGGGGGGUGGCACUGGUGGCACAGUUGGCGUGCUUCCCCCACCACAUUAACAUUUUGUGUGACCCUUGGCAACCCUUGGUUGUAGUAAAAAUGGUGCUGAUUAAAGCGCGCGCGUUUUCGGUAUUAUUGUCUUAAAACGGCCUACUUUUCUGUCCAUCGUCAAUCGUCCUUCUAGUCAGUGCAGGGUUGUUAAUUGUAUUUUAGUUCGUUUAAAUCCUGCGGAAUGGAAUUUAAGUAUGAGAAAGUAAGACAGGGUAGUCGCGCGCGCACACUGUAUAAAAAUGUGAAUAAUAAGCUACAAAUAAGGUGUACUGUAGAAUAAAACAAAACUUUCGAAAAGAA